AUUGAACGCUGGCGGCAGGCCUAACACAUGCAAGUCGAACGAGCGGCGGACGGGUGAGUAAUGUAUGGGAAUCUGCCUUAUGGAGGGGGAUAACUACGGGAAACGGUAGCUAAUACCGCAUACCAUCGGAUGAGCCCAAGUGGGAUUAGCUAGUUGGUGAGGUAAAGGCUCACCUAGGCGACGAUCCCUAGCUGGUCUGAGAGGAUGACCAGCCACACUGGGACUGAGACACGGCCCAGACUCCGACGGGAUGCAGCAGUGGGGAAUAUUGCGCAAUGGGAGCAAGCCUGAUGCAGCCAUGCCGCGUGAAUGAAGAAGGCCUUCGGGUUGUAAAGUUCUUUCGGUAGCGAGGCGUUAACUACAGAAGAAGCACCGGCUAACUCCGUGCCAGCAGCCGCGGUAAUAC
rnacentral:rRNA from 1 species